AUUGAACGCUGGCGGCAUGCCUUACACAUGCAAGUCGAACGGCAGCGGACCUUCGGGUGCCGGCGAGUGGCGAACGGGUGAGUAAUAUAUCGGAACGUACCUUUCAGUGGGGGAUAACGUAGCGAAAGUUACGCUAAUACCGCAUAUUCUGUGAGCAGGAAAGCAGGGGAUCGCAAGACCUUGCGCUGAUUGAGCGGCCGAUAUCAGAUUAGCUAGUUGGUGAGGUAAAGGCUCACCAAGGCGACGAUCUGUAGCGGGUCUGAGAGGAUGAUCCGCCACACUGGAACUGAGACACGGUCCAGACUCCUACGGGAGGCAGCAGUGGGAAUUUUGGACAAUGGGCGCAAGCCUGAUCCAGCCAUGCCGCGUGAGUGAAGAAGGCCUCGG
rnacentral:rRNA from 1 species